UACAGAGGUCUCAAGCGUUGUUCGGAUUCAUUGGGCGUAAAGGGUGCGUAGGCGGCGCGGUAAGUCGGGUGUGAAAAUCUCGGGGCUUAACUCCGAAACUGCAUUCGAUACUGCCGUGCUUGAGGACUGGAGAGGAGACUGGAAUUUACGGUGUAGCGGUGAAAUGCGUAGAUAUCGUAAGGAAGACCAGUGGCGAAGGCGGGUCUCUG
rnacentral:rRNA from 1 species